AUCCAUGUAGCGAAAUGGGUACCGCGUUGGACUUCUAAGCCAAAAGUCGUGGGUUCGAAUCCCACCUGGGAUG